CAAAAAAUAAAAAAUAAAAUAAAUAAAAAAUGAAAGGCAUUCUAAUAAAGUUGUUGCUUUUUUUUUUUUUUUUUAAUUCCAGAGCGGACUGGUGUACUGGCCCUUUGUACAGCUGACCAACUUCAGCCUUGUUCCUGUUCAGUGGAGAACAGCUUACACUGGAGUCUGUGGUUUUCUCUGGGCCAUCUUCGUCUGUUUUUCCCAGCAGAGUGGUGACGGCACAUUGAAGUCAGCUUUCACCAUUUUUCGUACAAAGUGGACCAGUGCCAUAGAAGGAUCCCCGGAGAAAUGAGAAGUCAAGGAUUCUCUUAAAGGGACCACAUAUUUGACCUAAAAUGCACAGAAUUGCCUGCAGACAAAAUACUUGAUGUGCCAAUUAUGCAUUUCAUUUUGAGGAAUUACUGCUAUUUGUAGACCCACUUUUAAAAAAAUUAUCAAUGAUUAUUUUUGAAUUGUAUUCAGACAUUUUUUCCUGUUCUAGUCUGAAAUAUUACUUCUCUAAUAUUUUGGUUAAUAUGAAUAAUAGUGGCAAAAUGACAUUUCAGAAUUAUCAAUAUUUCUAAUAUUUUAA